rnacentral:rRNA from 1 species
UGUGCAAGCACAAUAGAUGUGUGGGAGGAAAAUCCCCCGCAUAAGUCAAAGGUGUGAUGCGGACCGAAAAAGAGUAGGGAAGCUGUUAAGCAAGCCGUCAAGAAAAGCUGCUAUUGUUUCAUUAUGGCCCGUACCGUAAACCGACACAGGUGGAUGGGGAGAGAAUCCUAAGGCCGGCGGAAGAGGUAUUGUUAAGGAACUCGGCAAAAUGACCCCGUAACUUCGGGAGAAGGGGUGCCUGCGAGAGCAGGCCGCAGAGAAGAGGCCCAAGCAACUGUUUAGCAAAAACACAGGUCUAUGCAAAACCGAAAGGUGAGGUAUAUGGGCUGACGCCUGCCCGGUGCUGGAAGGUUAAGGGGAGUGGUCAGGAAACGAAGCCACGAACUUAAGCCCCAGUAAACGGCGGCCGUAACUAUAACGGUCCUAAGGUAGCGAAAUUCCUUGUCGGGUAAGUUCCGACCCGCACGAAAGGCGUAAUGAUUUGGGCGCUGUCUCGACAAUACAUCCGGUGAAAUUGAAGUGCCAGUGAAGAUGCUGGCUACCUGCGCCAGGACGGAAAGACACCAUGGAGCUUUACUCCAGCUUGAUACUGGGACCCGGUAUUGCAUGUACAGGAUAGGUGGGAGGCUAGGAAAUGUGGACGCCAGUCUGCAUGGAGCCGCUGUUGGGAUACCACCCUUGUGGUGCUGGGUUUCUAACCAGAGGCCGUGAACCGGUCUGGGGACAAUGUCAGGUGGGGAGUUUGACUGGGGCGGUCGCCUCCGAAAGGGUAUCGGAGGCGCCCAAAGGUUCCCUCAGAAUGGUUGGAAACCAUUCGAAGAGUGCAAAGGCAGAAGGGAGCUUGACUGCGACACCGACGGGUGGAGCAGGUACGAAAGUAGGGCUUAGUGAUCCGGUGGAAUUUAAGUGGGAAUGCCAUCGCUCAACGGAUAAAAGCUACCCUGGGAUAACAGGCUGAUCACUCCCAAGAGUUCACAUCGACGGAGUGGUUUGGCACCUCGAUGUCGGCUCAUCGCAUCCUGGGGCUGAAGUCGGUCCCAAGGGUUGGGCUGUUCGCCCAUUAAAGCGGUACGCGAGCUGGGUUCAGAACGUCGUGAGACAGUUCGGUCCCUAUCCGGCGUGGGCGUAGGAUAUCUGAGAGGAGCUGUCCUUAGUACGAGAGGACCGGGAUGGACUGACCUCUGGUGUACCGGUUGGCGAUCAACGCCACGGCCGGGUAGCCAUGUCGGGACGGGAUAAACGCUGAAGGCAUCUAAGCGCGAAGCCCCCCUCAAGAUGAGAUAUCCCAUCGUAAGAGUAAGACCCCUUGAAGACGACGAGGUUGAUAGGGCAGGGGUGGAAGUGCUGUAAGGCAUGGAGCUGACUGCUACUAAUCGGUCGAGGGCUUGACU